rnacentral:rRNA from 1 species
CCGGUAAACGGCGGCCGUAACUAUAACGGUCCUAAGGUAGCGAAAUUCCUUGUCGGGUAAGUUCCGACCUGCACGAAUGGCGUAAUGAUGGCCAGGCUGUCUCCACCCGAGACUCAGUGAAAUUGAACUCGCUGUGAAGAUGCAGUGUACCCGCGGCAAGACGGAAAGACCCCGUGAACCUUUACUAUAGCUUGACACUGAACAUUGAGCCUUGAUGUGUAGGAUAGGUGGGAGGCUUAGAAGUGUGGACGCCAGUCUGCAUGGAGCCGACCUUGAAAUACCACCCUUUAAUGUUUGAUGUUCUAACGUUGACCCGUGAUCCGGGUUGCGGACAGUGUCUGGUGGGUAGUUUGACUGGGGCGGUCUCCUCCUAAAGAGUAACGGAGGAGCACGAAGGUUGGCUAAUCCUGGUCGGACAUCAGGAGGUUAGUGCAAUGGCAUAAGCCAGCUUGACUGCGAGCGUGACGGCGCGAGCAGGUGCGAAAGCAGGUCAUAGUGAUCCGGUGGUUCUGAAUGGAAGGGCCAUCGCUCAACGGAUAAAAGGUACUCCGGGGAUAACAGGCUGAUACCGCCCAAGAGUUCAUAUCGACGGCGGUGUUUGGCACCUCGAUGUCGGCUCAUCACAUCCUGGGGCUGAAGUAGGUCCCAAGGGUAUGGCUGUUCGCCAUUUAAAGUGGUACGCGAGCUGGGUUUAGAACGUCGUGAGACAGUUCGGUCCCUAUCUGCCGUGGGCGCUGGAGAACUGAGGGGGGCUGCUCCUAGUACGAGAGGACCGGAGUGGACGCAUCACUGGUGUUCGGGUUGUCAUGCCAAUGGCACUGCCCGGUAGCUAAAUGCGGAAGAGAUAAGUGCUGAAAGCAUCUAAGCACGAAACUUGCC